rnacentral:rRNA from 1 species
GGGGGGGGGGGGGGGGGGGCGUGGGGCGGGCGGGGCGGACGGAGGGGCCCUGCUUUGGGGGGGUGCUCGAGUGGCGAACGGGUGAGUAACACGUGAGUCACCUGCCCUGGACUUUGGGAUAACUUCAGGAAACUGGGGCUAAUACCGGAUAGUAGCUCCUGCUGCAUUGUGGGGGUUGGAAAGUUUCGGCGGUUGGGGAUGGACUCGCGGCUUAUCAGCUUGUUGGUGGGGUAGUGGCUUACCAAGGCUUUGACGGGUCGCCGGCCUGAGAGGGUGACCGGCCACAUUGGGACUGAGAUACGGCCCAGACUCCUACGGGAGGCAGCAGUGGGGAAUAUUGCACAAUGGGCGGAAGCCUGAUGCAGCAACGCCGCGUGCGGGAUGAAGGCCUUCGGGUUGUAAACCGCUUUCGCCUGUGACGAAGCGUGAGUGACGGUAAUGGGUAAAGAAGCACCGGCUAACUACGUG